AAAUUCAAAACAAUACAUUUAUUAUAUUUUCCUUUUACAUACAAUACAUACAAUAUAGAAAAGAAGAAAACAACAAAUGUAUUUAUUUGCUCUUCGAAAUACCACAAACAUUCACAUUCAUGUCAAAAGUUUCAAGUGACAUACACCACAGAUAAUUUAAAUGAAUUUAAAAACAAUAGUCCAGUAUAGUAUAUAGAUAAUUGUAACUUUUCUCUUUGUUAACAUCUCCAAAAUAGCCUAUACAAUUUGAAGCUUUAGUGUCCGUAUUCUUUGAUGAAGAAGCUUUGGUAUCAGUAUAUCACCACGCCAAGGAUUCACCCACACUAUAGUAGCUCACAUCCUUCAGAAGUGUUGUCUCCAAUAACUGAAAAGAAAAGAAUUAUACUAAACUAGAUCGGGAACGAACAAAAAAAACAAUAUUAAAAAAGUAAGAAAAGCAUUAAUAGAGGCACAAUGGCCUUAUUGCCUUUGCGACAUAGUUUUAAACAAGAUAAUGCACCAAACUAUUUGUUUAGUAUAGAUUGUGACACAUGAUAACCAACAGAGGCAAUGUAAGUAAACACCAGUAUAACAAGUACAAUUGAUUACCACACAGAAGGGUGCAGAGCAAAGUAAAUGAUCAAGCUGAAACAAUAUACAUAACAAUUUCAAAGGGAUAACCCAACAACCUAAUGGGAUAGAUUAAAAGAACCAACCAAUCCGGAAGAUUAAGUGGAACUUGGCAGCUACAUAGCCUCAAGUGGACUCCACAUAGUUCAAUCAGCGAGUUGACCUCUAAAUAAACAUGGAUAAUAAACAAAGAUUACAUAUACACAUGAACAUCUAAUGGAUUCUUUAUCAAAAUCCAUUUGAUAACUUAUCUAGAACUUUAAAGCAUUCUCUCAAACAGUUGGAAGGCAAUAUACUACUAUACAGUUGAAAAGGUAAAUUUCGUAUCAAUUAAAAUGCACAGCAUAAUUAGGUUCUCUAAUUCAAUUAUAGAAAGGUAAUACACUGACAUGCGGCAAUAUCUCAUCUAUCGGAUUGCGGCACACAUAUAUGAAAUAGGAUACAUCAACUAUCCAAAAUUCAUUCAUAUCCAAAGUGAAUGAAUCACAAACCCAUCUUUUAAUAUGAACAACCCAUAAUUUCAAAUUAAAAGAAGAAAAAUUAAUUGAAGAUUCCUCGAAGUCUCAAUAAAAAACCUUGCACCGAUUACAUUGACUUGAACUCUGGCUUCUCCUUCUGGCAAGGUCACAAGACUACGAACUUCGAAUGUCUUGAUGGAGAAGAAGCAAUUGACUGCAUAUUCGAUUUCAGUUCGAUUUGAAUUUGUUCACAGAGGCGAGAGAAGAGAACGGAAGUGGAGGUUGCCAUCACCUAUGAUUCUGUAAAAUAUGACAUAAAUAGCAUGGCCCCUUUCGAGCAAGAUGAACAGAGAAUGAUGGAUGUUGUCUCGUAGAAUUUAGGGUUUCAAAGGAGGAGGGUUCUGAAAGGGGGUUGGAAAUAGGGAAAAUAAAAAGAAAGGAAUGAGCGAUUUAAAUUCAACUGCGUAUAAAAUUUCUCACUGUUUGCUGCAAAUGUCGAUAAACAUAGUGAAAAAUACAUCAUUUGAAUCAAAUGUUAUAAUAUUUAAUAACUUUUCUUGCUAAAUGACGUUCAUUUAACCACAUAUUGCUCUAAAUGUCAG
rnacentral:lncRNA from 1 species